rnacentral:rRNA from 1 species
UACGUAGGGUCCGAGCGUUGUCCGGAAUUACUGGGCGUAAAGGGCGCGUAGGCGGCGAUCCGAGUCAGAUGUGAAAGUCCUGGGCUUAACCUGGGGACUGCAUUUGAUACUGGAUUGCUUGAAUUCGGGAGAGGAUAGCGGAAUUCCCAGUGUAGAGGUGAAAUUCGUAGAUAUUGGGAAGAACACCGGUGGCGAAGGCGGCUAUCUGGACCGACAUUGACGCUGAGGCGCGAAAGCGUGGGGAGCAAACAGG